CCUACGGGUGGCAGCAGUGAGGAAUAUUGGUCAAUGGCCGGAAGGCUGAACCAGCCAUGCCGCGUGAAGGGCAGGGACCUAGGGGCGUUAAACUUCUUUUGUGCGGGAGCAAGAAUGGUCACGUGUGGCCAGACGAGAGUACCGUACGAAUAAGCAGCGGCGAACUCCGUGCCAGCAGCCGCGGUAAUACGGGGGAUGCAAGCGUUAUCCGGAUUGAUUGGGGUUAAAGGGUGCGUAGGCGGUGAGGUAAGUCAGCGGUGAAAUGCCCCCGCUCAACGGGGUGAAGUGCCAUUGCUACUGCCUUGCUGGACUGCGGAUGCCGUGGGAGGAAUGUGUGGUGUAGCG
rnacentral:rRNA from 1 species